UACGGAAGGGGCAAGCGUUGUUCGGAAUCAUUGGGCGUAAAGGACGCGUAGGUGGCUCUGUAUGUCUACCGUGAAAGCAUACAGCUCAACUGUAUUUUGUCGGUAGAAACUGCAGGACUUGAGGCUGGGAGGGGCUGGUGGAAUUCCCUGUGUAGCGGUGAAAUGCGUAGAUAUCGAGAGGAACACCAGUGGCGAAGGCGAGUCUCUGGACACUUCCUGACGCUGAGGCACGAAAGCCAGGGGAGCAAACGGG
rnacentral:rRNA from 1 species